CUCGCACAGGCGGGAUGUGGCCCUGGUUGUCCAUGUUCCUCCCAGUAUUGAGCUGGGCCCUGCCCUCGUCACCGCCACAGAGGGAACAGCUGUCACCCUGCAGUGCAAUGCCACCGGCGUGCCACCCCCUACUGUCACCUGGGCAAAGGGCACAGAGCCCAUCUCGCAGAGCCACCGCUACUUCCUCGGCAGCAACGGGACCCUCUUGAUCCCCUCGACCUCCGCCAACGAUG